ensembl:snoRNA LOC120094483 small nucleolar RNA SNORA48
CCGCCCUGCCAAUGGGCAAAGAGACACCUUGGUGUUGUUCUUCUAUCAGUCAGAGUAGAUGGCUCCUGUGUUCAUCCUAGCCUGAUGCCUGGCUUGGUGGCCAAAUCUGUCUUAUGCCUAGGACUCAGAA